GAAGAGCCAAGUGAAAAGCUGCAGGUGGUCAAAAAUAAAGAUUGAGCUUUCAAAUGAUCGAAGAGGCCUGCCACUGGUGUGAUUCCAAAACGCAUAGUAUACAUCCCAAAUAUGCAAAAGUUUGGCACGAAACCACAGCCAUGGAAGGGGAUCUUUACUGGCUGCUACUGUUGAAAGCAAGAUAUGACAAAGCUUCUCACUGGCCAAUCAACACGAUGCACCGGUUCCAGAGAAGUUGUCAUUGUGACAAACGUACUACCUAUGCAUGUGAGAAAUGCAAAGCUCCACUGCACAUUGAGUGCUUCAAGAUAUACCAUGGACAGUAGAAAAGGCCGAAUGAAAAAGGUCUGAAAAAGACAAAAGAAAAAUAGAAAAGUCGAUAAAGGGUGAGGAGAAGCAGGACAACGGACUCUAGGAAGAAGUCGAUGAAAAAGACAAAUCAAAAUGACCUAAAUGUUUUUGGAAAAGGUCAAUUGAUUGAAGACAUCCUGUAUGACAGUAGGUCUGACUGAUCGUAGUUCAAAACAGUGAUGCAUAAAUUAAUCUUGCACUUGGUUCUGAAGCCUAACUCUAACUCAUUGUCCAGUGGCGCUUUUUAAAUAUAUAUAUAUAAAUAUGUUAAUUUAGUAUGUGAAAUAUGUUUAUUUAGUAUAUGUAACAUUAUCCCACCGGUCACAAUUUUUCACCUACUUUUCGAAAAAAAAUUGAUUACUAAUGAUACUUGAUUUGGAUAUUUUCAUGUCUGGGAAAAUUUGGGUUAAAAUGAGAAGAGUGAUUUUUUUCUAAUAGACUGCAUUUCACUUUGGGCUGACAAGCAGAUGAGGAGUGCAGGAAGUGGUAAGGAGGAGAUUCUAGAGUGGUCUUGUGUGUUUACAAGUAUCAAUUAAGCAGCCUGAAGCAUUGUACUUUCUGUAUUGCUAAAGGGAUUGUGUUAAGGUUAUUUACUGUUUCACUUUUCAAUAGUAUAGUAUAGAUGGCUCUAGUGCGCUCAUGUCCACUUUGCUAUAAGGUUUUGAUUGGCUUCAGUCAGCACCUUAGGUAUAUACACCAUGUGAGGAACAGUGAAGAAAGGGUGCUCCUUUGUAAUUGGCAGUCGGGCCUUGUCAAUGUCAGGCAGGAGCAGUGUCCAGUGACAGGAUGCUCCACACAUCUCAGCAGACUAGACUGGCAUAUAGACUCCCACACAGAGCUCUACAGACAGGUUUUAGAGGACCUUUGGAGACGGCUGACGAUGGAGAGGCUGGCGGCGUGGAGGGCAUCGAUCCCUGCCUUCCCACUGGCAACAGAUUUGGAUAUUGUGGAGACUAAGGAAAGGAGGGGAGGAGGAAAUACUAUGUUUACCAACAGAAGCAGAGGAGGAAGUGGACUGCAAAGAGGAUUCUGCUACUGCCACGCACCAAUCCUGAGACUGAAGAAAGCUGUGCAAGAGAGGGAUGAGGCACUGACAAUGAGAAGUGAGACCAACCAAUCCAUUAAAGAGGACAACCUGAAGUUGAUCGCUGAGCUGCAUAGAGUGAGGAAGAAGUACCAGCUGCUGAAAAGGAAGAUGGGGAUUGUCAGGGUGAGUCCGGCAAAGAAGGCCCUCAACUUUCAGGCAGAGGCAGACAGACACAAAGCGACAGGUUCAGGGGACCAGAGAGAGGAGCCUACAGUGUCCGGAUCUAGCUGCAAACUCAUCUUUCCGGGAUCUGCUAUGAGUGUGUUUAUCGGGGGAUUCAGGAAGACCUGUGAGGGCCCCAAUCCAAAUUAUAAGCUUAGGGAAAAUUGUGCCUCAAAGGUCAAGAGGGGGAUGAAAUUUUUGAACUACAUGGCCAAGAAUGAGACCUACCAGUCCUCUCUCCUUUUCCUGACAGACCAUGACAAAAUAAGGCAAAAAACAUUGGCGCAUUUCUUAAAUAUACCAAGGAGACCCCUCCACCUGGCUGCCGGAUGACCGUAAACCAAUGGAAGGGGAUCAACUGGUUGAUGAAGGGCAUUAACAAGUCCAUGAGACGACCAGUUUCCCUUCACCAGGUAAAGGUGAAAGACAACAAGGAAGGCAAGGUGGUGUCCAAAAAGAGCCUGCUGGAGUGCCAGUCUCUUACCAAGGCAAAAUCCCUCAAGUGCUGAGUAAAUUCUUCUCAAUCUGUGAUGUCACAGGUAUACACACGUAUAGAGUGCAUUAUGGAGUGGGAUAAUGAAGCUGCCUUUAAUUAUUUUCAUGUUCCCACAGAAACAUUGGAAGAAACAAGGACACAGGAAUCAGUACCGGUUUUAUGGGUACCUGUGUGCCUACUUUACCUACAUAUACGGCCACAGACCAGGCCUGUAUAAAAACAUGUUGGUGAAAGAGGCUAAAUGUGACCCAUCUAGGGUGUAUCUGAUCAAUAUAAGUCUAUAAAAUACAGCUGACUGGGUUUAUUUGAUUGUUUGCUUGGUUGGUUAUUUUUGGAAACAAUUGCCGGAGCGUAAUGUGUAUUUGUGUGUUUGUUUUCUGUUAAAUUUCUAUUAGGUGGGGGGAAAAAACGAAUUGAGAGUAUGGCAUGGUCCAGAUGUCGCUGACAAAGGUUCAGACUUUCUGAAAUUAAAGCACUGUCUCAGGGGCAAAGAAGGCCCAGCACUUUUAAAUUCCACGAAGAAACUGCCUGCCUACCUGAGGGAGGUGUUGAAGGAGAUGAGUCUGUCCGAAAGUCCUACCUUCACUGACCUGCCGACCUCCAUUGUCACUCAUGUAAAAACCAUGCUCCGGAAGAUUGACAGGGAAAGGGUGGCCAACUUUAUGUGCCACAACAUCCAGUCGGCAGACACAUUUUAUGCCAUCAAUUUAAAUCCAUCCCAAGCCAAUGAAAUCAGGGCACUCUGAGGCUGCAAUGAAGGGGGAAGAUACCACAGUCGCUGCAGAGAACCAGCACUCCACCUCAGGAAAAAGAAAGCGGAAGGUGAGAGAGGACGCCUCCCUCUCCGAGGGGAGCACCACCCCUGAAAAGACCAAGGUGAUGUACCAGGAGUCUGGCACAUCCGCCGGGGACUCGGAGGUGGUGGAAGAGGAUGAAGAUGAGGAACAGACAGCCAGACAACCUCCAAACUUACGCCAAAGCGGAAGCAGGCGCCGCAUGGUGGUCGCCAUCAGCCCCAUGCUAGUCUCACCCCUCAAAGUGAAGAUCAAGUCGCCCCACCACUCCCCCAUUGUCACAUGGAAAGGUAUGCACAAACUUAACUCAAAAAAAGUCAGACUAAAAAAGGCCUCAAGGAGGUUAAAGCUGCAGGAGAAGGUGUAAAAUGAAGGAGGGUAGCCCUGAUGCAGCUCGAAGGAAGGGGAGCCGACCUACAACAUAACUUCCUCUUCCGAAUACUUUUAUAGAUUGUUUGGUGUGGUUUUCUUUUUUGGUGUGCUUGUUUAGAUUUUAGAAGUGUAAAAUGUGUGUAAUUUAUUCUAACUGUCUGUUCAAUUUUCUAUUUUGGUGUUCUUGUUCAGAUUUUAGAAGUGUAACGUGUUCAAUUAUCUAUUAUGUAAAGGUUUGUUCUGUUUUAUUAAAUAACUGAGUAAUUCUUAGUUGUGCUUUUUUAAAAGGUUUGUCAAUUAAUUUGUAAGUGUUGAACUUUCACUGUUUUUUGUUAUUGUCUGUGAGGUUGGAAAGAAUAUUUUGUCUUUAUUAGCAUGGGAAUCAUAUGUUAACAUUGCCAAAGGAA